UACGUAGGGACCGAGCGUUGUCCGGAAUCAUUGGGCGUAAAGAGCGUGUAGGCGGCUUGUUAAGUCUUGCGUGAAAUCUCGGGGCUCAACCCCGAGCGGUCGUGAGAAACUGGCAGGCUAGAGUGCGGGAGAGGAGAGUGGAAUUCCCAGUGUAGAGGUGAAAUUCGUAGAUAUCAGGAAGAACACCCGUGGCGAAAGCGGCUCUCUGGAGCGGUACUGACGCUGAGACGCGAAAUCGUGGGGAGCGAACAGG
rnacentral:rRNA from 1 species